rnacentral:ncRNA from 1 species
CAUUUCUCCAUGGUGGAGAACUGGACUACACGCCCUGAUGCUACGACUUAAGGUGACUGGUCAUAAAAACUUCAGCAUAGACAAGCUCUAUCGUUGAUAAGACAGCUGCAACACAUAGCUUUCGAGUUAUCAUGAAGCGGCAGAG